rnacentral:lncRNA from 1 species
UUUAGCUUUCUCUUGUUACCGUUUGGAGAUAAGACAGGCUGGCUGUGCAAGCUGUCCAUGAGCUGUGCUUUGACUAUGUAUCUAGACAGAUACAUGGCAAGAUGAAGAGAAGCCUUAAAGCAUCCAAUCACACGCUAAAGAGAGACCAGCCAAUAAGAAGAACUAUCAUGAAGAUAAAGACUAGCAUAACUCUCUCCAUCUCAACCAUCCAAACUCCAAGAAGAUUAUGAGCCAUUAGAUUUAGGUCUUAUGUUAUUGCAAAUGUAAAAGCCUAUAUAAAGCUCAUAAUGUCGAUUGUAA